rnacentral:lncRNA from 1 species
AUCCCAAUGUAUGUACCUGGAUGUUUCAGUCGAAGUGUGAGUAGCAGUGGAUGUGACACUGGUCAGGGCUGUUCCCAUGCCACAGAUGCCUUAAAAAUCUGACAUCAGCUGGGGCUGUUGGCAUGGACACUUACUCAUGGCUUCUCCACGUGGCCCAGGCUUCUUCCUGGAAGACAGAUGAGCUAAGAAGGAGAGAGAAUUGUCAGAAGUUGCAUUACAGUAUCUGAACUAGUGUGAAAAAUCACACCACUUCACUUUCCAGUGUACUAUUGAUUAGAAUCAAGUCACUAAGACUGACCUACUAUGUCACCAAAUUUAAGGCAAUAUUUAAAAAUUUUGGGGCAUGUUUUAUGACCACCAAAAAGAAAAAUAUAUCUAUAUGAAACAUAUAAUAUAAACAAUAUAUAAAAAUAUACAUACUAUAUAGUAUAUAUAAUAUAGUAUAUAGUAUAGUAUUAUAUAUAAUACUAUACUGUAGUGCUAUACUAUAGUAUUAUACUGUAUUAUACAGUACUUAUAAAUGGUAUAUAAGUAUUAUAUAUAUUAUAUAAGUACUUAUAAACUAUAUAUAAGUAUAUAUAUAAAAUAUAUAAAAAUAUAUAAAUAUAUAAAAUAUAUACUUGUAUAUAACAUAUCGUAUAAAUAUAUAUAACAUAUAAUAUAUAGAGAUAUUUGAGUAUAUAAAAUUCUUUUAUUUCCAGUUUGAAUUGCCCAUUAGACUUUGUAAUGUGAACUAUUACAUAGUUCACAAAAAAUUAGAGGCUCAUAAGUGACUCCUUUGCUAUGUAUAACUAGGUUAAUUUUAAACUGUAGUGAGGUUCCCUUUGUAAUGAAAUUCUCCAUUAAGGAAUUUUUAAUAGAAGGUCAUAAUUAUACAUUUUGUUAUAUUAAACUUGAGCUAGGGUCACCCGUAAUUUCAUUAAAUAAUGUAUGUAUUAUUUUCAAUCGUGUUCUAAUGCAUUGAACGUUUUAAUGUAUCUCAAACUGUUAAUCACUAACUGAAACAGCUGCUUUAUUUGAACAGCAUUUAUAAAAUGAUAUGCAAACAAGCUUUGCUUCAUGUUUUGACAGAAGUUAAAUCCACUUUCAUCAGAGAGUCCUGCUCAGUGUGUGUUCUUUACCUGGGAAUGAAAGGAACUUCAAGCCUGGAACUCUACUUUCUUCCCUUUGACAUCUGUGCUACUGUGGAGAGGGCAAUAAAAAGAU